UACGUAGGGUGCGAGCGUUGUCCGGAAUUAUUGGGCGUAAAGAGCGUGUAGGCGGUCCGGUAAGUCCGCUGUGAAAGUCGGGGGCUCAACCCUCGAAUGCCGGUGGAUACUGUCGGGCUAGAGUGCGGAAGAGGCGAGUGGAAUUCCCGGUGUAGCGGUGAAAUGCGCAGAUAUCAGGAGGAACACCGGUGGCGAAGGCGGGUCUCUGGGCCGAUACUGACGCUGAGGAGCGAAAGCGUGGGGAGCGAACAGG
rnacentral:rRNA from 1 species